rnacentral:rRNA from 1 species
ACGGGAGGCAGCAGUGGGGAAUAUUGGACAAUGGGGGAAACCCUGAUCCAGCGACGCCGCGUGAGUGAAGAAGUAUUUCGGUACGUAAAGCUCUAUCAGCAAGGAAGAAAAUGACGGUACUUGACUAAGAAGCCCCGGCUAACUACGUGCCAGCAGCCGCGGUAAUACGUAGGGGGCAAGCGUUAUCCGGAUUUACUGGGUGUAAAGGGAGCGUAGACGGUAAGGCAAGUCUGAAGUGAAAUGCAUGGGCUCAACCCAUGAACUGCUUUGGAAACUGUCAAACUAGAGUGCAGGAGAGGUAAGUGGAAUUCCUAGUGUAGCGGUGAAAUGCGUAGAUAUUAGGAGGAACACCAGUGGCGAAGGCGGCUUACUGGACUGUAACUGACGUUGAGGCUCGAAAGCGUGGGGAGCAAACAGGAUUAGAUACCCUGGUA